rnacentral:rRNA from 1 species
GACGUAGGGUGCAAGCGUUGUCCGGAUUUACUGGGCGUAAAGAGCGCGUAGGCGGUUCGUUAAGUGUAGAGUGAAAUCUCUGGGCUCACCCCAGAAACUGCUCUGCAUACUGGGCGGACUAGAGGGUUCGCCAGAGGCUUGUGGAAAUUCCCGGUGUAGCGGUGAAAUGCGUAGAGGAUCCGGAAGAACGACCGGUGGCGAAGGCGGUCUGCUGGGGUGAGGCUGACGGCUGAGGCGCGACAGCGUGGGGAGCAAACAGG